rnacentral:tRNA from 1 species
GUUGUGGUUCAGUGGUAGAGUGCUUGCCUAGCAUGCAUGAGGCACUGGGUUCGAUCCCCAACAUCACA